rnacentral:rRNA from 1 species
UACGGGGGGGGCAAGCGUUGUUCGGAAUUACUGGGCGUAAAGGGCUCGUAGGUGGCCAACUAAGUCAGACGUGAAAUCCCUCGGCUUAACCGGGGAACUGCGUCUGAUACUGGAUGGCUUGAGUUUGGGAGAGGGAUGCGGAAUUCCAGGUGUAGCGGUGAAAUGCGUAGAUAUCUGGAGGAACACCGGUGGCGAAGGCGGCAUCCUGGACCGAUACUGACGCUGAGGAGCGAAAGCCAGGGGAGCAAACGGG